rnacentral:rRNA from 1 species
UUGGAGGGCAAGUCUGGUGCCAGCAGCCGCGGUAAUUCCAGCUCCAAUAGCGUAUAUUAAAGUUGUUGCAGUUAAAAAGCUCGUAGUUGAAUUUCGGGGUUAGUAGGUUGGUCAUGCCUCUGGUAUGUACUGGUCUCACUGAUUCCUCCUUCCUGAUGAGCCGUAAUGCCAUUAAUUUGGUGUUGCGGGGAAUUUGGACUGUUACUUUGAAAAAAUUAGAGUGUUUAAAGCAAGCUAACGCUUGAAUACACUAGCAUGGAAUAAUGAAAUAGGACGUUCGAUCCUAUUUUGUUGGUUUCUAGGAUUGACGUAAUGAUUAAUAGGGAUAGUUGGGGGCAUUAGUAUUCAAUUGUCAGAGGUGAAAUUCUUGGAUUUAUUGAAGACUAACUACUGCGAAAGCAUUUGCCAAGGAUGUUUUCAUUAAUCAAGAACGAAAGUUAGGGGAUCGAAGACGAUCAGAUACCGUCGUAGUCUUAACCAUAAACUAUGCCGACUAGGGAUCGGAUGAUGUUAAUUUUUUAAUGACUCAUUCGGCGCCUUACGGGAAAC